UACUUGUAGUCGCAAAGGGAUGG
rnacentral:siRNA from 1 species